rnacentral:rRNA from 1 species
AUUGAACGCUGGCGGCAGGCCUAACACAUGCAAGUCGAACGGUAACAGGAAGCAGCUUGCUGCUUUGCUGACGAGCGGCGGACGGGUGAGUAAUGUCUGGGAAACUGCCCGAUGGAGGGGGAUAACUACUGGAAACGGUAGCUAAUACCGCAUAACGUCGCAAGACCAAAGAGGGGGACCUUAGGGCCUCUUGCCAUCGGAUGUGCCCAGAUGGGAUUAGCUAGUAGGUGGGGUAACGGCUCACCUAGGCGACGAUCCCUAGCUGGUCUGAGAGGAUGACCAGCCACACUGGAACUGAGACACGGUCCAGACUCCUACGGGAGGCAGCAGUGGGGAAUAUUGCACAAUGGGCGCAAGCCUGAUGCAGCCAUGCCGCGUGUAUGAAGAAGGCCUUCGGGUUGUAAAGUACUUUCAGCGGGGAGGAAGGGAGUAAAGUUAAUACCUUUGCUCAUUGACGUUACCCGCAGAAGAAGCACCGGCUAACUCCGUG